rnacentral:rRNA from 1 species
GACGAACGCUGGCGGCGUGCUUAACACAUGCAAGUCGAACGGUAAGGCCCUUCGGGGUACACGAGUGGCGAACGGGUGAGUAACACGUGGGUGAUCUGCCCUGCACUUCGGGAUAAGCCUGGGAAACUGGGUCUAAUACCGGAUAGGACUCCUGGCUUCAUGGUUGGGGGUGGAAAGCUUUUGCGGUGUGGGAUGGGCCCGCGGCCUAUCAGCUUGUUGGUGGGGUAAUGGCCUACCAAGGCGACGACGGGUAGCCGGCCUGAGAGGGUGACUGGUCACACUGGGACGGAGAUCCGGCCCAGACUCCUACGGGAGGCAGCAGUGGGGAAUAUUGCACAAUGGGCGCAAGCCUGAUGCAGCGACGCCGCGUGAGGGAUGACGGCCUUCGGGUUGUAAACCUCUUUCAGCACCGACGAAGCGCAAGUGACGGUAGGUGCAGAAGAAGGACCGGCCAACUACGUGCCAGCCGCCGCCGUAA